rnacentral:misc_RNA from 1 species
AAGUCGUAACAAGGUAACCGUAGGUGAACCUGCGGUUGGAUCAUUAACAAAAUGAUAAGAGUCGGGCCGUAAAACGUCCGGCUUUUAUAAACACCUGUGAACUGUAAUUGUAUUUGGUGGGUUAAAAUGAAGAGAGUUUUCUUUUCGGGUAGUUUAAAUUAUUUAAUUUAAAUUAUCACCCACCGUCAAAAAUUUGAACUUGUAUAAUCUUGAAUUAGUUUUUAAUUAUUAUUAAUCUAAAACAACUUUUGACAACGGAUCUCUAGGCUCUC